rnacentral:rRNA from 1 species
AAACCAACUGGGAUUGCCUUAGUAACGGCGAGUGAAGCGGCAAAAGCUCAAAUUUGAAAUCUGGUACCUUUGGUGCCCGAGUUGUAAUUUGGAGAGUACCACUUUGGGACUGUACUUUGCCUAUGUUCCUUGGAACAGGACGUCAUGGAGGGUGAGAAUCCCGUGUGGCGAGGGUGUCAGUUCUUUGUAAAGGGUGCUCGAAGAGUCGAGUUGUUUGGGAAUGCAGCUCUAAGUGGGUGGUAAAUUCCAUCUAAAGCUAAAUACAGGCGAGAGACCGAUAGCGAACAAGUACAGUGAUGGAAAGAUGAAAAGAACUUUGAAAAGAGAGUGAAAAAGUACGUGAAAUUGUUGAAAGGGAAGGGCAUUUGAUCAGACAUGGUGUUUUGCGCCCCUUGCCUCUCGUGG